rnacentral:rRNA from 1 species
GAUGAACGCUGGCGGCGUGCCUAAUACAUGCAAGUCGAACGAGGUAGCAAUACCUAGUGGCGUACGGGUGAGUAACACGUUGGGAACCUGCCCUUAAGACCGGAAUACCAGAUGGAAACAUUUGCUAAUACCGGAUGUUGAUAUAUUAGCGUUGGCUGAUAUAUCCAAAGGAACUAUUGUUCCGCUUUUGGAUGGCCCUGCGUCGCAUUAGUUAGUUGGCGGGAUAAUGGCCCACCAAGACAGGGAUGCGUAGCCGAGCUGAGAGGCUGAUCGGCCACAUUGGGACUGAGACACGGCCCAGACUCC